rnacentral:rRNA from 1 species
UACGUAGGGGAGAAUGGAAUUCCCGGUGUAGCGGUGAAAUGCGCAGAUAUCGGGAGGAACACCGGUGGCGAAGGCGGUUCUCUGGGCCUUACCUGACGCUGAGGAGCGAAAGCGUGGGGAGCAAACAG